GACGAACGCUGGCGGCGUGCCUAACACAUGCAAGUCGAACGAGCGAGAGAGAGCUUGCUUUCUCAAGCGAGUGGCGAACGGGUGAGUAACGCGUGAGGAACCUGCCUCAAAGAGGGGGACAACAGUUGGAAACGACUGCUAAUACCGCAUAAGCCCACGACCCGGCAUCGGGUUGAGGGAAAAGGAGCAAUCCGCUUUGAGAUGGCCUCGCGUCCGAUUAGCUAGUUGGUGAGGUAACGGCCCACCAAGGCAACGAUCGGUAGCCGGACUGAGAGGUUGAACGGCCACAUUGGGACUGAGACACGGCCCAG
rnacentral:rRNA from 1 species